rnacentral:rRNA from 1 species
GACGAACGCUGGCGGCGUGCCUAAUACAUGCAAGUAGAACGCACAGUUUAUACCGUAGCUUGCUACACCAUAGACUGUGAGUUGCGAACGGGUGAGUAACGCGUAGGUAACCUGCCUGGUAGCGGGGGAUAACUAUUGGAAACGAUAGCUAAUACCGCAUAAUAUUGAUUAUUGCAUGAUAAUUGAUUGAAAGAUGCUAUUGCAUCACUACCAGAUGGACCUGCGUUGUAUUAGCUAGUAGGUGAGGUAACGGCUCACCUAGGCGACGAUACAUAGCCGACCUGAGAGGGGGAUCGGCCACACUGGGACUGAGACACGGCCCAGACUCCUACGGGAGGCAGCAGUAGGGAAUCUUCGGCAAUGGACGAAAGUCUGACCGAGCAACGCCGCGUGAGUGAAGAAGGUUGUCGGAUCGUGAAGCUCUGUUGUAAGAGAAGAACGGGUGUGAGAGUGGAAAGUUCACACUGUGACGGUAUCUUACCAGAAAGGGACGGCUAACUACGUG